rnacentral:lncRNA from 1 species
UAUUUCACUCUGCCAUGGCUAUGGGCUUAAGGACUCGAUCUUUCGAUCAUCAUAGGACUACUCCUCUCAUCUACCGAGGUUGAUAGAUUCCAUCUUGGUGCGAUCUAGUUCCUACAAUGAAUAUACCUCAGGGUUCUGAAUGGCUAGGAGAUCAAGUUAUGGUGUAGUCAAACUAUAACACAUUCAAGGUGAACUGUCGAUGCACCUC